GUAAGCAUGUUCAAUGAUAUUUGAACAGUUGGUGUUAUAACAAAAAUAUGGGGACAAUGCCAUUGGCAAAUUUAGUCAUAAGUGAGAUGUCAGCUACAUUUCUUUAUAUUCGAACAUGUUUACAAGAGACAAAUUCAAUCAGGUUUUUUGGAUACUUCAUCUAAAUACAAUCCAUAGACAAGAUGCCGGAUUACGAACAUGCUUUCAGCUAGUAAGGUGUUUCCUCGAUUACAUAAUUUUAAAAUUAUUUAACUAUUUUACACUGGGAAGAGAAAUUUGUGUGGAUGAAUCUACGAUCAAGUUCAAAGGACUCCUUCAUUACUUACAAUCCGAAGAAACUGACCAAAUGCGGAAUUCGAGUUUAUACUAUAACAGACUCAACCACCGGUUAUAUCUGUGGUAUUCUUACUUAUUUUGGAAGUUUGACAACAGACUGCUUGAUUAGGCGUGACGUUCCGGUGGCAACGAGGAUACCAUUGCAUCUGUAUGCGUGUCCGAAGAAUUAUUGAAAUUAAAAUGCCACCUUGCAGGAACUAUCUUAACAAACAGAAAGCAUCUAGCAGAACAAAUAAAAAUAAUACAAUUCAGAAAAAAAUCAAUAGUAGCAUACCGGAAAACAAACACAUUAAUUUUAGCGUCGAAGGACAAGAGGGUUGUGACAUGCUUGACCAACUGGAAUAAUGCUGGAAUGACGCCUGUAAAACGAAUUUUACGAGGUGGAGUAGAAGUGACCGUCAAGAAACCUAACGUAAUAAUAGAUUACAGCAAACACAUGGGCGGUGUCGAUCGUGCCGAUCAGUAUGCUUCAACGUACAAUUUCCUAAAAAAAUCAGUGAAAUGAUGGCGUAAACUGUUUCUUAGGGCUUUGGAGAUUUGCUUAAUAAAUUCAUUUAUUUUAUAUAAAACCACUAAAGAACAGAGAAGCGAACGGCCGCUUAGUCACUUACACAUAUUUGAAGACAUUAGUUAAUCAAUUGGCUGGAGAUUUCCACCAGCCACGCGACCGAGGCUCCACUUCAACCACCGAAUCCAAUAAAAUUCACUUAAAUGUAAAGCUGCAUAGCAUUCUCACAGGAGUUAGAAAUGAUUCCAACGAUAUAAGCUCCUCAGAAGACACCAAACAACUUUAUUGUGACAUUUGUCCCGACAAACCGAGCAUGCAUUUCGGCAGUUGUUAUCUCAAAUACCAUACAAUGCAAAAUUAUCAUCUCAAAUAUGUAAAGAUACAUUUAAUAUUAAAAAAUAAGGUACAGGUGGAUGACUGUCGACGAACCCACAAUUACGACGAAUUCAUAUGCACUUUUCUGUCGAUGUUGGCACAUCAAGGCGUACUAGGAGAAUUAGUAAGUCAGCAUUUACUUCCCUCAAAAAAAAUUGGUGGACUUGGCGGAAAUAGAAUGACGAAAGGCUCAGCUCAAACUGUUACACCACAAAAACCAAAAAACUGCAAAACUUCUAAAAAUUCUGGCCGAAGA